rnacentral:rRNA from 1 species
CUCCUACGGGAGGCAGCAGUGGGGAAUAUUGGACAAUGGGCGAAAGCCUGAUCCAGCCAUGCCGCGUGUGUGAAGAAGGUCUUCGGAUUGUAAAGCACUUUAAGUUGGGAGGAAGGGCAGUUACCUAAUACGUGAUUGUUUUGACGUUACCGACAGAAUAAGCACCGGCUAACUCUGUGCCAGCAGCCGCGGUAAUACAGAGGGUGCAAGCGUUAAUCGGAAUUACUGGGCGUAAAGCGCGCGUAGGUGGUUUGUUAAGUUGGAUGUGAAAUCCCCGGGCUCAACCUGGGAACUGCAUUCAAAACUGACUGACUAGAGUAUGGUAGAGGGUGGUGGAAUUUCCUGUGUAGCGGUGAAAUGCGUAGAUAUAGGAAGGAACACCAGUGGCGAAGGCGACCACCUGGACUAAUACUGACACUGAGGUGCGAAAGCGUCGGGAGCAAACAGGAUUAGAUACCCUGGUAGUCCACGUCGUAAACGAUGUCAACUAGCCGUUGGAAGCCUUGAGCUUUUAGUGGCGCAGCUAACGCAUUAAGUUGACCGCCUGGGGAGUACGGCCGCAAGGUUAAAACUCAAAUGAAUUGACGGGGGCCCGCACAAGCGGUGGAGCAUGUGGUUUAAUUCGAAGCAACGCGAAGAACCUUACCAGGCCUUGACAUCCAAUGAACUUUCUAGAGAUAGAUUGGUGCCUUCGGGAACAUUGAGACAGGUGCUGCAUGGCUGUCGUCAGCUCGUGUCGUGAGAUGUUGGGUUAAGUCCCGUAACGAGCGCAACCCUUGUCCUUAGUUACCAGCACGUCAUGGUGGGCACUCUAAGGAGACUGCCGGUGACAAACCGGAGGAAGGUGGGGAUGACGUCAAGUCAUCAUGGCCCUUACGGCCUGGGCUACACACGUGCUACAAUGGUCGGUACAGAGGGUUGCCAAGCCGCGAGGUGGAGCUAAUCCCAUAAAACCGAUCGUAGUCCGGAUCGCAGUCUGCAACUCGACUGCGUGAAGUCGGAAUCGCUAGUAAUCGCGAAUCAGAAUGUCGCGGUGAAUACGUUCCCGGGCCUUGUACACACCGCCCGUCACACCAUGGGAGUGGGUUGCACCAGAAGUAGCUAGUCUAACCUUCGGGAGGACGGUUACCACGGUGUGAUUCAUGACUGGGGUGAAGUCGUAACAAGGUAGCCGUAGGGGAACCUGCGGCUGGAUCACCUCCUUAAUCGACGACA